rnacentral:rRNA from 1 species
CCCUAGUAACGGCGAGUGAAGCGGCAACAGCUCAAAUUUGAAAUCUGGCUUCGGCCCGAGUUGUAAUUUGUAGAGGAAGCUUUAGGCGCGGCACCUUCUGAGUCCCCUGGAACGGGGCGCCAUAGAGGGUGAGAGCCCCGUAUAGUUGGAUGCCUAGCCUGUGUAAAGCUCCUUCGACGAGUCGAGUAGUUUGGGAAUGCUGCUCAAAAUGGGAGGUAAAUUUCUUCUAAAGCUAAAUACCGGCCAGAGACCGAUAGCGCACAAGUAGAGUGAUCGAAAGAUGAAAAGCACUUUGAAAAGAGGGUUAAAUAGCACGUGAAAUUGUUGAAAGGGAAGCGCUUGUGACCAGACUUGCGCCGGGCUGAUCAUCCGGUGUUCUCACCGGUGCACUCUGCCCGGCUCAGGCCAGCAUCGGUUCUCGCGGGGGGAUAAAGGCCCAGGGAAUGUAGCUCCUCCGGGAGUGUUAUAGCCCGGGGCGCAAUGCCCUCGCGGGGACCGAGGUUCGCGCUCUGCAAGGAUGCUGGCGUAAUGGUCAUCAGCGACCCGUCUUGAAACACGGACCAAGGAGUCAAGGUUUUGCGCGAGUGUUUGGGUGUAAAACCCGCACGCGUAAUGAAAGUGAACGUAGGUGAGAGCUUCGGCGCAUCAUCGACCGAUCCUGAUGUUUUCGGAUGGAUUUGAGUAAGAGCGUUAAGCCUUGGACCCGAAAGAUGGUGAACUAUGCUUGGAUAGGGUGAAGCCAGAGGAAACUCUGGUGGAGGCUCGCAGCGGUUCUGACGUGCAAAUCGAUCGUCAAAUCUGAGCAUGGGGCGAAAGACUAAUCGA